rnacentral:rRNA from 1 species
UAAUGCGUAGCAUAGGUGGCAGAGGUUGAAGCGAUGAUCUUGGUUGUCGUGGACUCGAAAUAUGAAAUACCACUCUUUAAUUGGGCAGUUCCUAACCCGCGGAAUAAAAAUCCCGUGGAGACAGUGCGUGGCAGGCAGUUUUAGUGGGGCGCUACCCUCCCAAAAAGUAACGGAGGGGUCUCAAGGUUGGUUAGGUGCGAAUGGAAACCGUAUCGAUAGUGUAAUGGCAUAAACCAGCUUGACUGUGAGGUGUAGAUACCAAACAGACGCGAAAGCGGAGCAUAGUGAACCGAUGGUACGCGUUAGAUGCGGCCGGAGAUUACCCGAUAAAAGUAACCCUGGGGAUAACAGGCUAGUCGUGCCCAAGCGUCCAUAGCGACGGCACGGUUCGGCACCUCGAUGUCGGCUCGACUUAUCCUGGGGCUGGAGCAGGUCCCAAGGGUUUGGCUGUUCGCCAAUUAAAAAGUCACGUGAGCUGGGUUUAGACCGUACAGGUUCUGAUAUACGUAAUUUAAUUAUUUGUAUUUGAAUCGGUACUUGUACAGUCUAAACCCCAUUGAGUAUUCGUUUAUUGAACCAAGAAAAGAACCAACCAAACACGGCGGCGUGUUGUAGAAAUACAGCAUGAGAAGUCAACUAAUAUCGGUGAAACCCUACUUAUAAUAAAUAAGGGGCAAUACCGAGGGAAGGUCGUUGUGAAUUUCAAAGAGGAAGCGUAAUAUGUUGUGGUCAAGUGAUAGGUCUGGUCUCAAUAUCGUAAAGAUAUGAGCUGGUUAGAAGUUCGAUUCUUCACCCAUAACGUCCUCUCGGGAUGUAGAAAUACAUCCUGUCCCCUUUGAAAUUCAUAAUUUCCACCCGUAGAGACUACACGUUGAAUUCGUACGUACUCAAGUUUUGAGUGCACGAAAAGCUAUAGUCCGAUCCUCAUAGUAAUGUGAGUAAACAAAAUGCGUGAGACAGGUUGGUCUCCUAUCUACUGCAGGCGUCGAUUCUUGAGGAGAGUUGUUCCUAGUACGAGAGGACCGGAAUGAACGAACCUCUGGUCUAUCGGCUGUCACGCCAGUGGCACCGCCGAGUAGCUAUGUUCGGAAUGGAUAACCGCUGAAAGCAUCUAAGCGGGAAGCCAACUCCAAGAUUAGGAAUCAUUAAGUCCCCUGAGAGAUGAUCAGGUUGAUAGGCACUAGGUGGAAGUACAGCAAUGUAUGGAGCCGAGGUGUACUAAUAGGACGUAUUUCCUGUAAGG